GAGGAAGAGAAAGUGAUGAAGUGGUAGAAGAGGAGAAGAAGAUAAUUUCUCUUCCAUGUUAGGGGGGGAAGGGCAAAUAUAAUGACUGGAAGAGACAGGCACUUUGCCAGGGAGGACAGGAAGAUGGAUAGAGAGAGAGAGAGAAAGAGCAGAGGAAGACAUGAGGUCUCAGUGUGUCAGGAUGCAUCCUGUGGUGUGCUGUGAGUGUUUGUGUAUGAAAGAAACAGAUCUAGCCUGAGUUGUCAGCAAAUCUCUGGCCAAGAGAGGAAGACAGAUUGUCUACAGCAAUGUAGCAGUGACAGAAGUGGUGUUUGUAGAGACAAUAGGUACAGAGAUGCAGACAGAAGACGGGGAGAUGUGAGAGAGAGGGCAACCUGAGAGGAGGAGAGGGUUAGAAUGGAGACAGAGAGGGGACAGAGAAGGACAUCUAGGGCAACAAGAGUCAGUACAGGACACUACAAGAGAGA